rnacentral:rRNA from 1 species
AGGACGAACGCUGGCGGCGUGCUUAACACAUGCAAGUCGAGCGGAAAGGCCCUUCGGGGUACUCGAGCGGCGAACGGGUGAGUAACACGUGAGCAACCUGCCCUUGGCUCUGGGAUAGCCUCCGGAAACGGGGAUUAAUACCGGACAUGACCUUCUCCUGCAUGGGGGAGGGUGGAAAGUUUUUCGGCCAGGGAGGGGCUCGCGGCCUAUCAGCUUGGUUGGGGGGGUAACGGCCCGACCGAACGGCGACGGACGGGUACGCC